ACCUCAACCCCAAAACGACCAACAAAAACCGAUCCACCCUCAAAUCCGCCAUCAACAUCAAAUAUCCGCCGGUGAAACCACCUGGAAAUCGUUACGCCUUCCGCGCCACCAUCAAAACCCUCUGUCGUGACAUUUCCGACAAAAUGUCUGAACCCGUCAAAACGCAAAUGACGUUCACAACAGCUUGACAUUACAUAUCCAGCAACGAUUGCUCGUGGCCUUUAUAGAUCCGUUGCUGGACCUUAUGAUAAAAGUGUCGUCUUUCGCAUUGUUAAUGACUUUUUGUUUGCUCGUGAAAGUUAUAUCAUUGCAGUGGUCUUUGGAGGUUUGCGUUUAGGCAUUUUGACGCAGUUCUGGCUCGGAUUCAAGCAACUCGCGACCAACUAACGUCACCAAGCCAUCCGUCGAAGUCCUCAACGGUAAUAAGCAAGACAUCAUCUCAGCAAUAUAAAUCCAACAGCAUAUCAGUAAUUAAGUUCAUCUGCAUUUUGCCCCUUUUGAUUUUGGUUGGUUUUCUUUCUAUUUUUUUUCAACGGUGUUUAAUUAUAAUUUUGACAUGGUGAACUUGUUGCUUCCAGUUUGUUGUUUUGGGUGCAUCUGCAUAUUGUUUUUAUGUUGACUAUUUUGAAAAGAGUAUGUAUAUUAAUUUUCUGUCAUGAAUGUUUAGCUAGCAUCUCAGUGUUAAGUGAUUCUGUUAUGAACUUCUGGAUUAGAUUUCGUGUCCGCUUAAUUGCUUCUAUUAUAUCUCAUCUGAAGCAUUAUGUUGGAACUUAUUAUGCUGGAACUUGUUUGUAUAUAGGGCUUAAUCGAUAGUUAAGGAUUAGUUUAGAGUUUAAAGGUUACUAUAACGAAUUCAUGUUCAUGUUGGAGAUUCAUAAGCUGCUAGAAGUUUCAUUUUAAAAUAGUUUGGACUAAACAUGUCUUUGAAGGAUUCAGAAUAUUUGGUUAUUACAUGAAAGUUACCACUGAUUUUUAGCAUAAUGGAAUGUCAAAUGAGUGUGUGUUCGUCCCCAGCUCAAUGUUGAUUUCUAUUACCUUUUAGUACCAUUUUUACUGUCAAUUCUAAUAUGAUGUAAAUACUACUUGAUCCUAUUGCAGUAAUUACGUUUAAUUGGAUUCAUUUUGUGGAUUCGACAAUUUCAUGUUGCAAUACCACCAAGUUCUUAAUAAAUCAA
rnacentral:lncRNA from 1 species